rfam:Bacillus solimangrovi strain GH2-4 NODE_23_length_60301_cov_1.44311_ID_2493, whole genome shotgun sequence.
UAAAGGCGAUGAAGCAGAAGGUUGCUGACACACCCGGCCCCUUUGCCAUGGCGAGCGUGUGGGAAAUUUCUGCGGAGUAUGUCUAUUUAAGAAAAUGGACGAAAA